AUUGAACGCUAGCGGGAUGCCUUACACAUGCAAGUCGAACGGAGUGGCGAACGGGUGAGUAAUGUAUCUGAACGUGCCCAGUAGCGGGGGAUAACUACGCGAAAGCGUAGCUAAUACCGCAUACUAUUGGAGCGGCCUAUAGCGGAUUAGCUAGCUGGUGGGGUAACGGCUCACCAAGGCGACGAUCCGGAGCUGGUUUGAGAGGAUGACCAGCCACACAGGGACUGAGACACGGCCCAGACUCCUACGGGAGGCAGAAGUGGGGAAUUUUGGACAAUGGGGGAAAGCCUGAUACAGCCAUCCCGCGUGUGCGACGAAGGCCUUCGGGUUGUAAAGCACUUUUGGCGGGAAAGCGGGACCUGCAGAAUAAGCACCGGCUAACUCCGUGCCAGCAGCCGCGGUAAUAC
rnacentral:rRNA from 1 species